CCCUUAGAUGUUCUGGGCCGCACACGCGCUACACUGAAGGAGGCAGCGUGUACUCCUGGAUCGAAAGAUUUGGGUAACCCGCGAAUCUCCUUCGUGCUAGGGAUUGAGGUUUGCAAUUAUCCUUCAUGAACGAGGAAUUCCCAGUAAGUGCAAGUCAUAAGCUUGCGCUGACUACGUCCCUGCCCUUUGUACACACCGCCCGUCGCUACUACCGAUUGAAUGAUUUAGUGAGGACUUCGGACUGGGACCGAUGCGGCUUUCGGGCUGCGUGGGUAUUCUGGAAAGAUGUCCAAACUGUAUCAUUUAGAGGAAGUAAAAGUCGUAACA
rnacentral:rRNA from 1 species